GAGAGAAGGGAGGGAUCCAAUGUUACAGCACCCAUAUCCAGUCUCAGGCAUGGAAACGAGACUCCUGCUGCAAAGCAGCAUCCCCCAUUCCAGGUUCUACUACAAGCUUGAUUAGCCCCAGUUUAUAGGUAACAAGCUCAGGAGUGUCUUGUUUAAUGUGGAAUGGAUCAAACUGCUUGGCAUUGGGAGUCUUAUUUACAUCCCUUGUUGAGCCCCAUUCACAGAUAAUCCUGUUUCUAUAUACAGCACUUACUGUACCAGAGAUAUACCACUAGCCAGCGGUUUUAGACCCUGGUCCUCCCUCAAUGGUCUCCUUUUUAAAUAUCUAUUUUAAACAUGCAUUGUUUUCCAAUGCACAUAAGACAGCUCUCGCAGGCAGACAGCCCCUGAGAUUUCAAACAGUGUGCAGCUGCAAUGGUUGAUCUAGUGUCUAUGUUCAUUACCAGACUGCAAUGCAUUUUGUCCAUUCCACCCCCACCAUAUGCAAUUGACUCAACCAGAAAUACGCUGUCUCGUCAUUAAACCAAUCUGAAGCAUCAUUUUUCAACAAGCAAUAAAUCAGUUUGUGUAAGCGUGGCUUUUUUUUAUUAGAGAUUCAUGUAUCAAGUUUUACCAAAGAGGUAAAAUGGUUGUUUCAAGUCAGUGGUUUAUAUGUGUCUCAGCUACUGCCAUUAAAUAGCGAAACACUUACUGUAAUUAAUGCUAGCAGCCUAUUAGUUAUGUCACAUUGUUUUGGUCCCGAAUCUUGAACACUUCAUGGCUAUUUUCUGUUAUUUACUGCAUGUACUUAGGAACCUGCUGCGUUUGUUUAUAAACAGCAUACUGCCCGUUAACAGGAUGCAACGCUCUAACCAGUGUUACCAGUUCAUUUUAUAUCAUGUACUUGUUCAUCUGGCUCUUAGUUAUAGGGAAUGUUAUCAUUCCAUAAGGGAAUUGCUUUAGCGCUCAUAGGAUUGUAUUUCCUGCUGUUUCGACUAUUAUCUGAAGAGAUGUUGGCACAGGGGUGAGAAGUGACACAAUGAACCGAACGAAACACUGCUUUUUUUUUUUCUUCAAAUUUCUUAAAUCUGCUGCGUUGCAUUUUCUUUUGGUCCAUGUUGCUUUGUGUAUUUAUACCUGUACAAUAAAAAAAAGAUUUUAUAUUCGUCCUCUCUGAUUAAGAAAGAGGUGAAUCCCAGGUGUGGUUUGACACCCUAAGUAGAGCGUGUGGUUAAAUACUUUUGCGCAGUGUCAGCACCAGUUCAAGGCUGAUGGGAAAAGACUCACAGCCGCCAAACAGAAUCUGAAUUACUGUCUGAGCGUGUUCCAGCAGUUACUGUUCAUUAUUGUGGUGCACUAGAUUUGAAGUUUGGAAUAAUGCACACGAUCUCUGUAUGUGCAACUUCAACCAAACAAGCCUUCCCAGGAAGUCAAUUAAUGAAUUAUCCCAUAAUGCGAAGCAGCUGUGUGUCUGCGGUUACUAUGGCAAGCUAUCGCAGCAAAUGACCAACACAAUACACAACUUGAUGUUUGACCCCCCACCACUCCCCGAACAGCUGCAAGAGAAUGAAGUCGAUCUGUCUUGAGCCGCAGCGGACUGGAAGCCUCGUAUCCCAGGGGCGAGUCCAGGAUUAGGGACCACUCGCGCCAUCCGCCCCUGACGCCACUCUGGAGGAGAGACAGGACCCAAUCAAAGGGCUGCUGGGACUGUUCCCUAUCUGCUGGGUGGGGCUCAAACGAUGCACCACAGGCACAUGCACAAACCUGUAUGCUGAGCUCUGGUACAUGUGUCCAUGUGUGCUGUUCCAUUUGUUCUCAUGAAUGCUCAUGAUAACAGCACCAUAUCCCCCUACUAGAAGAAAAAUACAUCAGGACAGGUUACAAAACUGGUGAGAGAACAAAUCAGAAGGUGAAUACAGGGGCGUCUGAAGCACGAUAGGGUUAACAAACCCAUUCGGCAAUGCUGGAGCUGAGCAGACC